UACGGAGGGUGCAAGCGUUAUCCGGAUUCACUGGGCUUAAAGGGUGCGUAGGUGGUCUGGUAAGUCAGUGGUGAAAUCUCCAGGCUUAACUUGGAAACUGCCAUUGAUACUAUUAGUCUUGAAUACCGUGGAGGUCAGCGGAAUAUGUCAUGUAGCGGUGAAAUGCUUAGAUAUGUCAUAGAACACCAAUUGCGAAGGCAGCUGGCUACACGAAUAUUGACACUGAUGCACGAAAGCGUGGGGAUCAAACAGG
rnacentral:rRNA from 1 species